AGAGUUUGAUCCUGGCUCAGAAUCAACGCUGGCGGCGUGCCUAACACAUGCAAGUCGAACGAGAAAGCGGGGGCAACUCCGUGAGUAAAGUGGCGACCGGGUGAGUAACACGUGACUAACCUACCCUAGAGUGGGGAAUAACUUCGGGAAACCGAGGCUAAUACCGCAUAACAUCACGAGGGGAAGAUCCUUGUGAUCAAAGGAGAAAUUCGCUCAAGGAGGGGGUCGCGGCUGAUUAGCUAGUUGGUAGGGUAACGGCCUACCAAGGCGAAGAUCAGUAGCCGGCCUGAGAGGGCGCACGGCCACACUGGAACUGAAACACGGUCCAGACUCCUACGGGAGGCAGC
rnacentral:rRNA from 1 species